rnacentral:rRNA from 1 species
GUGGGGAAUAUUGGACAAUGGGCGCAAGCCUGAUCCAGCCAUGCCGCGUGAGUGAUGAAGGCCUUAGGGUUGUAAAGCUCUUUCAGUGGGGACGAUAAUGACGGUACCCACAGAAGAAGCCCCGGCUAACUUCGUGCCAGCAGCCGCGGUAAUACGAAGGGGGCUAGCGUUGUUCGGAUUUACUGGGCGUAAAGCGCACGUAGGCGGAUCGUUAAGUCGGGGGUGAAAUCCUGGAGCUCAACUCCAGAACUGCCUUCGAUACUGGCGUUCUUGAGUCCGGAAGGGGUGGGUGGAACUCCUAGUGUAGAGGUGGAAUUCGUAGAUAUUAGGAAGAACACCAGUGGCGAAGGCGGCUCACUGGUCCGGUACUGACGCUGAGGUGCGAAAGCGUGGGGAGCAAACAGGAUUAGAAACCCCAGUAGUCC